UUCUUAUCAGUCGUGGCCAUAGCCUGCUAUCUAUUUGUCGUACAUUGACUUAGGGCGAUAAGAGUUCGACCUUCAAACGGUGUGUGCCAGCCCGAUGCGAACCAACAUGGCGGACUUAAAGCUGUUGAUGAUGACCCUCUUGCUGGCGUGUGACGUCAUCAGCGGCACAGAUGAAGAGGACUUGUCUAAACGCCAGAACGUCAUAAACAGGCGAUGCUUCGAAUGCCACGAGACAGACGCGCCGUUCCAAUGUCUGACACUGGCCAAAUGUGGAAACGGUGAGGUAGGAGCGU